GAGUUUGAUCCUGGCUCAGGAUGAACGCUGGCGGCGUGCCUAACACAUGCAAGUCGAACGAAGCACCUUUUGAGAUUCUUUGGAUGAUUGAUUGGUGACUGAGUGGCGGACGGGUGAGUAACGCGUGGGUAACCUGCCCUGUACAGGGGGAUAACAGCUGGAAACGGCUGCUAAUACCGCAUAAGCGCACGAGGAGACAUCUCCUUGUGUGAAAAACUCCGGUGGUACAGGAUGGACCCGCGUCUGAUUAGCUGGUUGGUGAGGUAACGGCUCACCAAGGCGACGAUCCAUAGCCGGCCUGAGAGGGUGAACGGCCACAUUGGGACUGAGACACGGCCCAGACUCCUACGGGAGGCAGCAGUGGGGAAUAUUGCACAAUGGGGGAAACCCUGAUGCAGCGACGCCGCGUGAAGGAAGAAGUAUCUCGGUAUGUAAACUUCUAUCAGCAGGGAAGAAUUAGGACGGUACCUGACUAAGAAGCCCCGGCUAACUACGUGCCAGCCGCCGCGGUAAUAC
rnacentral:rRNA from 1 species